CCAGACUCCUACGGGAGGCAGCAGUGAGGAAUAUUGGUCAAUGGGCGAGAGCCUGAACCAGCCAAGUCGCGUGAGGGAAGACGGUCCUAUGGAUUGUAAACCUCUUUUGUCGGGGAGCAAAAAGGCCUCGUGAGGCCACAAGUGAGAGUACCCGAAGAAAAAGCACCGGCUAACUCCGUGCCAGCAGCCGCGGUAAUACGGAGGAUGCGAGCGUUAUCCGGAUUCAUUGGGCGUAAAGCGCGCGUAGGCGGCCUGUUAGGUCGGGGGUCAAAUACCGGGGCUCAACCCCGGUCCGCCCCCGAUACCGGCAGGCUUGAGUCUGGUAGGGGCAGGCGGAAUUCCUGGUGUAGCGGUGAAAUGCGUGGAUAUCAGGAGGAACACCGGUGGCGAAGGCGGCCUGCUGGACCGCAACUGACGUUGAGGCCCGAAAGCGUGGGGAGCAAACAGGAUUAGAUACCCUCGUAUA
rnacentral:rRNA from 1 species